CGAAGGGGGCUAGCGUUGCUCGGAAUCACUGGGCGUAAAGCGCACGUAGGCGGCUUUCUAAGUCAGGGGUGAAAUCCUGGAGCUCAACUCCAGAACUGCCUUUGAUACUGGAGAGCUCGAGUCCGGGAGAGGUGAGUGGAACUCCGAGUGUAGAGGUGAAAUUCGUAGAUAUUCGGAAGAACACCAGUGGCGAAGGCGGCUCACUGGCCCGGUACUGACGCUGAGGUGCGAAAGCGCGGGGAGCAAACAGGAUUAGAUACCCUGGUAGUCCACGCCGUAAACGAUGGAUGCUAGCCGUUGGCGGGUUUACCCGUCAGUGGCGCAGCUAACGCAUUAAGCAUCCCGCCUGGGGAGUACGGUCGCAGGAUUA
rnacentral:rRNA from 1 species